GAACUGCUUAUUUAAAGCAAACGACGGCCGGUAAUCAAGUGCAUUGUGAAAAGUGUAACCAGUCAGAUCCAAAUUGCAGUGAAGAGAAAAGUGAAUAAAUUGAAAAUGAGAGCCUUUAUUAAAAUUUUAUUGACUUUUGUUGUAACUAUGUUGUUGUAUAGUUUGCCCGUUUUAGCCCUUCGACGGAAGGCUUUGCUUUCGGAUGGAAAGUAGAAAAAAUUAAAUUUGCUGUUUCCUGUUGAUGACAACUGUAAAGUAUAAAGGCUAAACGCGAUUACAAAUACAUGCAUAUGCACUUAGUAUGUAUGUAUGAGGUUAAAUUUUUUUAAAUUUGAUAUUACUUUUGAUUUUAUGUAACAAAAUUGUAUAAAAUAAUAAAAAAACGGAGAGCGAA